rnacentral:rRNA from 1 species
UUGGAGGGCAAGUCUGGUGCCAGCAGCCGCGGUAAUUCCAGCUCCAAUAGCGUAUAUUAAAGUUGUUGCAGUUAAAAAGCUCGUAGUUGAAUUUCGGGGUUCUACCGUUGGUCGGGCUUUGUCUGUACUGGUGUGUAGAAUUUCUACCUUCUGGGGAACCAUCAUGCUAUUAAUUUAGCGUGGUGGGAAACCAGGACCUUUACCUUGAAAAAAUUAGUGUGUUCAAAGCAGGCUUAUGUCUGAAUACAUUAGCGUGGAAUAAUAGGAUAGGACGGUGGUCCUGUUUUGUUGGUUUCUGAAUCACCGUAAUGAUUAAUAGGGAUAGUUGGGGGCGUUAGUAUUCAAUUGUCAGAGGUGAAAUUCUUGGAUUUAUUGAAGACUGACUUCUGCGAAAGCAUUUGCCAAGGAUGUUUUCAUUAAUCAAGAACGAAAGUUAGGGGAUCGAAGACGAUCAGAUACCGUCGUAGUCUUAACCAUAAACUAUGCCGACUAGGGAUCGGACGAUGUUAAUUUUUCUUGACUCGUUCGGCGCCUUACGGGAAAC